rnacentral:rRNA from 1 species
GACGAACGCUGGCGGCGUGCUUAACACAUGCAAGUCGAGCGGUAAGGCCCUUUCGGGGGUACGACGAGCGGCGAACGGGUGAGUAACACGUGGGUGACCUGCCCUCAGCUCUGGGAUAAGCCUGGGAAACGUGGGUCUAAUACCGGAUAUGACUCCAUGACGCAUGUUGUGGGGUGGAAAGCCUUGUGCGGCUGAGGAUGGGCCCGCGGCCUAUCAGCUUGUUGGUGGGGUGANGGCCUACCAAGGCGACGACGGGUAGCCGGCCUGAGAGGGCGACCGGCCACACUGGGACUGAGACACGGCCCCAGACUCCUACGGGAGGCAGCAGUGGGGAAGUCUUGCGCAAUGGGCGAAAGCCUGACGCAGCGACGCCGCGUGAGGGAUGACGGCC